AGAGCUACAACAGAAAAAGAUUUCAUACAUCAUGUUCCAAAUUCCAAUGAUCACACGCCAGUAGUUGCUCCAAGUCCCCAAAUAAGAAACCAUCUGAUAAAAUUAGGAAAGAGGACAAACAUUUGCUACAAAUACGACUGCUCUCACCACUUCUCUUUUCUUUUAGGAACUAAAAUUUCACUUCCUUGACCAUUUGAGACAUCUAAAUAAAAACCAUCUGAUAAAUUAGGAAAGAGGACAAACAUUUGCUACAAAUACGACUGCUCUCACCACUUCUCUUUUCUUUUAGGAACUAAAAUUUCACUUCCUUGACCAUUUGAGACAUCUAAAUAAAAACACCAAUCCAUCACUCUGCUCAUCACAGUC
rnacentral:lncRNA from 1 species